AAAUAACAGGAGAACAAGUAAACAAAAUCAAAGACAAUGUAAUAUCCAAAGAUCAAUAUAUGGGCAGAGAUACUGUGUCAGUGAGACAAGCAAACGGCUACGGUGUAAAUGGUUCGCCUGGUUGUCAACGCGGCUUCGCUGUCUGCCGACCACUGCAGUGGGAUAGUAAGUGUAACUUAUGGAGUCGCUAUAUAGUUGAGACAACAUACUGCGCAUAUCAUAUAGCAUUAGGCACGUACAGAGUCUAGUAACUAGCAUUUUUUUUUCUGUGCGAACAGCGGAGGUUCUGAUUAUUACUGGCACAGGCGUGCGAUCCAUAUCAAGCAGGCGGUGGUACACUUGUCCGUCUUUCCAUGUCACCAUGGGUAACAUCGUCGUCAGUAACAGCAGUCACAGCCCAAGGCAACAACACGUGCGGCCAUUCACUAGUUCUUACUUUAAGUGCAUGCAGCAAUGGUUUGGCUUUAAUUCGGAAAUAUCUGAGUCGUCAAAGAUUGUACGAGCACUUUGAAGUUGAAUAGCCCAGCGAAAAAAAACUAUCGAGCUUAUGCUGUCGCCCAUCAAAUUCAUUCCAGCGGUAACGACUGGCCGGCGGGAGCGGACACGACUGCUCACGGUUACGCAAGACGAAGCACCCACUGUAGAUCUCUUGAUCCGUUACGAGCCCACUAAAACGCGGCCCUCAGGGAAGCCAAACGAAUACGGUUAGAGACAACAUAGAUAAUUACUAAGCAACUUACCUAUAAUAGAGCAGUGAACCCACAUCUAUAAGCCGACUACUAACUUGAGCAACAUUAACCUUUACUAUGGGCUUGUCCAAAAGGCCGACACUUUAAGAGGGUCAUGCUUCGGCAUCAGACAGUCAAGACCGACCAGUUUCGAUGACUGAACACACGCAAAAACAGUUUAACUCCCUCUUAUAGUAGCUAUUUUCGACUAAAUUUUACUCAUCUGUCUACUGAUGGACCCAAAACGGAAUCUACCUGAGCUGGAACAAGAACAGUGCCUUGGCCGAUUGGAUCAAUGUUCAAAAUUCUGUUUGUUUUUAAUCAAGGUUUCAACGCAGUCAGGCAUUUGUUUUUUUUUUGGUUGUCUACAAAACUGGUUCCUUCGCGCACUUUACGGCAAUCACAAUGAUUCUACUAUAAUAACAGUGUAAAAACUCUGAGUUGUAUGCACUCACUCUUAUAAUGUGUUUUCACCCGUUUUUCAUUUACACUAUCGAAAAUAAUGUAAAUUUCAUCGAAAAAAAAAUGUUGGUGACCACAAAAAAUUCAGGAAAUAAAAUUCAGACAUUUCGAAACCAGUGUUACAAUAAUGCCGCAGAUUGUUUGUAUCUAAGCUUAUAUACCUGAAAAUAUGUAACUUAGUACUCUGUUUAUAACUGUUCUGAUUAGACUAAUAAGGCUCCUAUGCUAGUUUUUUUUUAAUCUAUUAUGUGCUCAAUUUAAUAUGUCCUAAAUAACUAGAUUUAGCUUGGCUUAAAACUUCCGUACGAGUUUAGAGCUAACGACAUUUUCGGAAAAAUUCAUGUUAACAACGAACGUGUAUUUUUUACAGGCCAGUAAAUUAUUUGCCUUCAUUAACGAAAAUCAUUAUAUCUUUAUUAAACAAAUUGAACUAAAAUGUUUAAGCAUAUAAAAAAACAAGUUUCUAUCUGUUCUAUUCUGCUUCCAUCAGCAUUUCGUUUUCUCCGUUGCAGGACCCGCUUAAAGAUGGCCGUCAUAUAAACAUGAAGUGAUUGAUGCAACGCUAGUUAUGUUCCAUCAUAUGUAAUAUAGAAUAUUGAAACUAUAAUGAUGUGCCUAAUGUUCGCCUCCACAUCAGCUUGCAUCACGCAUUGCUCACUUUGACUUUGAGCUAAAAACUUUAGACGUAUUAAGCAGGUUCUUUUUUUAGAAGAAGUCGCUAUAAUUCCUGUCCCGCUUUCAGAGCGUAGUCCUCAAAGGUACUGUUGUCGUCGCGUACUAAUGGUGAACAUGAAAAACAGGGCUAGAAGCAAGAAGCAACCAUGUCUCACUUACACCAUAUGGAUAGAAAACCCACAAUGAGACUGCCCGCAGGAAAAACGCGAGUCCUUUCCUCCAUAUAUACGCAGCGUUAGCAAACAUGAUCCGUCUGACGGAGCAGCACUACCUUGCCGCCGUUUACCGCAAGCCAAACUUUUCAUUCGAAUACAAAUAACGUGCGAUGAUACACGAUGAAACUGAGAGUCAACUCCGCUAACGUUACCAACAUGAACAGUCAGUCUAUCCUGCUAGCCAUAGGAAGCACUAUACCCAGCGCCUGCUGAUCAAAUAAUCGCAGUAAUAGUUAAGCUUCAACGAGGCGUGCGUUCAUUUUUGUGCACCAGGUGACAGCAGUGCUCACCUCCAUGAAAAUACAGGCGCCUCCAAACAACCCUGACAAAUAGCCCAUUACAAUUAUUAUUGGAUUUAUUGCUGAGCGUCGAGAGAUUCUUCUGUUAAUAUUCUACGUACAUCUGUAGAUUCAUCAUUCUGUAUGCGUUGUAACUGCCGAUCAAAUGAGACUCUAGAACACAAAUCCUUUGUGACUCCUCGAGCCCCGCCAAUUGGAUGCAUAUCGGAUCACCAAUUUAGAGCUAUGGAGCUAGCUUAUACGUGAAACUCCUUUGUUAAUUCGCACAAGAACCAGAGGACUGCACGAAGCCGGCUGAAAACGCAUUUCGUUCCGUACUGGGAAGCAGUCUUCUUUACGGCAGCAUGAAACGUACCACUUCAAGCAUUUAUAUAGAGUACUAUUCACUGAAGGAGCACAUGGCCUAACGGUUUCGAUUUCCUGCUUCUCCGCAAAGCUUGCGCUUGAUCACUUGGUCUGUUCGUUCAUCUGUCCAGCAGUAGACAAUCGUAUUGUGAGAAACACAAUAGAAUCCGAUUAUUAGAACCGUUUUAAUAAACAGACGCAGCAACGUAUGAAAAGGCGGCGACCUAGCCUUUGUCAUCUAUCGGCACUGAUUAGAAGGCACACAGUCAAUUCCACAAAAAGCCAGGCACAAACCGUUGUAUCGAUUAUUUAUAUGAUAUCAUAUAUAUAUGUAUAUAUGAUAGCAAUCACGUUUACUUGGCUUUAAACAGUAAGAUUGAUUCUAGUUGAUCGUUUGCAGUGUUUAAACGAAGUUCUAUAUAGCAAAUUCUUCCCAUUGUGUAUUUUUUUCAUUAAAUAUAUGAAGAUAGUCAGUAUUAAUUCGAAAUAGAAUGCAAGAGAGUUAUGGCGACGAUGUUGAGAAACUUUCCUUUAACACCAGAAUAAGAAUAAUCACUUCCCAUAUUUAUACCACCGCUAGAAUGCAACACUCGACUGUCUGCAGUGGUCUUCAAUCACGCGUAGACGCAAACUAUUAUUGUCUUCAACGAGUUAACCAAAUCAUCGUUAUGAAAAAAAUAUAGAUUUAAAAAAAGCACUUGAAUGAAGUAGACAGACACGACAGUAUCCGGUUUAAUACAAUGCUAUAUUAUUACCAACGCUGCCCAUCGGCUGGACUAACAGCUGGGGCAUAUCUAGCACCAGUGGUGUGUUACCGUAUCUUCUGCUAAUUGUUACUUCAUCAGUAGUAUGCUCGACAGAAAUAAGAUCGAUGACGGUUGAUUUGCCGCUACAUUUCAAUCGUGCAGCCAACGUCCUCCGUCUAAGCUAAAGUUAUCACAGAUUUUCAUCUCUGAGACCCCUUCGUCCCUGUUUUGCCAUGGUCUCAGCACCUCCCGAUCACUGCGGAAAUAAUUUAUUAGUUAGCGCUGUUAUUAUUUUUACGUUUCAUUAAAGAGGAAAAUAUUCUAUUUUACUACGUUCAUUCACGUACAGAAUGGACCAGUAGACUUAUACCCAGGGAGACAUCGUCUGAGAGUGUCAUUUGUUGCGCUAACGAAACGCCAAAAUUAAGACAAAAUCCGGGCCGCCAGGUUGAUACUUGCACACUUACGCUCAUCAUCCGUCACGGCAUCAGUAAACCUUGUGGGAGAGCAUUCUUGUAACAUGUUAGCUCCAAUGCAAAAUACAAAUAAUUCAGUGACACUUUGUCUUCAAAAUACUUGCAAAUACCGCACAUUUUCUAUUAAAUAAAUUGCAUGAAAACAAACUAUUUACAAGAGUGGUCUUUUCAUAUCUGUUAUUACUUCCGAUUUCAGAGAUAUUAAAGAAUACUAACGAUCUCAUCAGUUUAUCUCACUCUGUUCCAGCGAUGCUAAAGGUGCCGAGCUCACGGCGCUAUAAUCUGAAACUCCGAAGAGGUACAAUCGAUCCAACGUAGCUGAAACGUGGACCAUUUUUCAUAGCAGACACAGCAACCUAGACGAAUCAUAUGCUUUUCAUGUAGAGCGCACACUUGUUGCUACGACGUAUAUAAGAAACGGGGAUUUUCGAUAAUAAAACCACGCACAUGUUGCUACACGUUGACCAGUAUAAUAUAUAGUGGAGAAAAACGAAUUAGAACAAUUACGUUAGCUCUGCUCAAUUUCUGCUUUACCGCGAGCUUUACUAGAAUAGCCAUGUCCCUAAACUGACUAUUGCAAACACGAAACAGCUGGGCAGCCAUGUAUCUAUAUAUAUAUACUCGCUUGUCUGUCUGUUUAUACAAUAUAUCUUCGUGAUAAACAUCGGAAGAGAUCAUACCCAAAUGAUAAGGGGUUAAUAUACAGCCAACUAUUCGAGCCAAAAAGAAAAUCGAAAAAAUCUGUCCUAGUACACGGGUGAUUGGCUUGUCGCCAGAUAACUUAUUCGUACCAAGAGUAACUUGUCCAGACAACAAAGUUAUAUGAUAUUAACACGUUAUCCUAUAAGUCUACAGCUUCUCAUCAACA